GGGGGCGAUUUAGGUUCGACGGGGGUCGGUAUUGGCACAGGAAGCGAGCCGCGGACCAUGGCCGCGUAACAACAUGGAACGGCAUAACUGCCAACAACGAUUACGCUCUGGCUGCGUAACUAACGCUGCCCAUCCGACCGGCCUAAGCCUGCGGGGCCGGACCCGGGUGUCAUAUUAGCGGGCUACCGCCAGGCACUUGCCCUGGGGCUGCGGCGGAAAAGUUACAGGGCUAGUCCAAUCGGCAUCCGGCUCUUGGGAGUCCGUGCGGGCGAAUCUUAAAGCAGGAGCUACGCUCGUAGAUGCCUGUGUGGGUACACCUUCGGACGGGGGGUGCUAUUCCCCCCCGCCUCCACCA
rnacentral:tmRNA from 1 species